GUCUAAGGUGGAAUUCCACAGCUCAACUGUGGGACUGCCUUUGAUACUGCAAGGCUUGAGUCAGGCAGAGGAGGUCGAAAUUCCCGGUAUACCGGUGAAAUGCGUAGAAAUCGGGAGGAAGGCCUGUGACGAAGACGGCCCUGUGGGCCUGCACUGACACUG
rnacentral:rRNA from 1 species